AUUAAAAUAGUUUAAAGAAAAUAGUGAUUUGUGGAAUCAAAGAUUAAUGAUUAUUUUAAUU
rnacentral:tRNA from 1 species